GGUACUGUCAUCUAAGGCGAGUCCAAGAUAUACAAGUCACGUAAGAAGUAACUCGUUAAAAACGUUUUAAAUGAAACGUUUUAAAUGUAAACUUGAUUGAUACAACGAUUAGAAAAAAUACGUCUUACGUGGCUUCAAAUUCUAUGAAAUAGGAUUUUAAAAAAUAGUGUGUUUACGUGUAAGAAUAUAUAUGUAAGUUGUGUAUCUAUGUAUGCCUGAAGAACAUCGAUCGAACGAGGCCAAGAUCUGUACAAUCGAUUUAUCUCGGAUGACACAUUCCUUCCUAUUAAAAGAUGAUAGUGAUGAAAGACGGUUAAGAAAUCAACGUGUUUGACCGAUGACACGAAUUGCAUUGGUGUUCGUCGAAAAGGAAUCAACGUGCGAGCCCUUUUUCAUUUCAACUUGGACAACUUUUAAUUAAUCAUUCGUUACAGUCUACUCAAAGAGGUCGAGGCAUCGUGAUUAAUAUGAAAACACGAUGACGUCUUUGGUUCAAAGAGAUUUCGAGUCUCCAAGAAAGAGGGAAUCCACUGGUAGCAAUGCAUCCAGUUAUUUACUUCUACUUAAUUCUCUGGCGACUGAUUUGGACUGCAUGCUGAGCGAGCUCUGCACGACCCCAGAUUCCUACGAACG
rnacentral:lncRNA from 1 species